GAGGCAUAUUUUUUCCCUCGCAUAUAGCGUAUUGAUGAGAGCCAUUUUAAACUAUGGACUUCGACCUACAAGCUGGCUGUAGUGGCUUGUCUUGAGCGAUUUUAAGUCGAUGACCCGCAAUGUGUGCGAAUUAUUGGCAAAAGGCAACCACAGGCUGCCUUUUUCUUU
rfam:Escherichia coli ISC11, WGS project CBWP01000000 data, contig: c6